UGGGGAAUUUUGGACAAUGGGCGAAAGCCUGAUCCAGCAACGCCGCGUGAGUGAUGAAGGCCUUCGGGUCGUAAAGCUCUGUCGGAGGGAACGAAUAAAGGCCACCUAAUAGGCGGCCAUAUGACGGUACUCUCAAAGGAAGCAACGGCUAACUCUGUGCCAGCAGCCGCGGUAAGACAGAGGUUGCAAGCGUUGUUCGGAAUCACUGGGCGUAAAGGGCGCGUAGGCGGUUGAAUAUGUCUAAUGUGAAAGCCCCCGGCUUAACUGGGGAAGUGCAUUAGAAACUAUUCGACUGGAGUGCAGAAGAGGAUGGCAGAAUUCCCGGAGUAGAGGUGAAAUUCGUAGAUACCGGGAGGAAUACCUGAGGCGAAGGCGGCCAUCUGGUCUGUAACUGACGCUGAAGCGCGAAAGCACGGGGAGCAAACAGG
rnacentral:rRNA from 1 species